rnacentral:rRNA from 1 species
CCCGGAGGAAGAGAAAGAAAAUUCGAUUCCCUUAGUAGCGGCGAGCGAAACGGGAAGAGCCCAAACCAACAAGCUUGCUUGUUGGGGUUGUAGGACACUCUGUACGGAGUUACAAAGGACGACAUUAGACGAAUCAUCUGGAAAGAUGAAUCAAAGAAGGUAAUAAUCCUGUAGUCGAAAAUGUUGUCUCUCUUGAGUGGAUCCUGAGUACGACGGAGCACGUGAAAUUCCGUCGGAAUCUGGGAGGACCAUCUCCUAAGGCUAAAUACUCUCUAGUGACCGAUAGUGAACCAGUACCGUGAGGGAAAGGUGAAAAGCACCCCGGAAGGGGAGUGAAAUAGAACCUGAAACCGUGUGCUUACAAGUAGUCAGAGCCCGUUAAUGGGUGAUGGCGUGCCUUUUGUAGAAUGAACCGGCGAGUUACGAUUUGAUGCAAGGUUAAGCAGUAAAUGUGGAGCCGUAGCGAAAGCGAGUCUGAAUAGGGCGUUUAGUAUUUGGUCGUAGACCCGAAACCA